CAGUCGCCGCGGGAAUACGGAGGGUGCAAGCGUUAAUCGGAAUUACUGGGCGUAAAGCGCACGCAGGCGGUCUGACAAGUCAGAUGUGAAAUCCCCGGGCUUAACCUGGGAACUGCAUUUGAAACUGUCAGGCUGGAGUCUUGUAGAGGGGGGUGGAAUUCCAGGUGUAGCGGUGAAAUGCGUAGAGAUCUGGAGGAAUACCGGUGGCGAAGGCGGCCCCCUGGACAAAGACUGACGCUCAGGUGCGAAAGCGUGGGGAGCAAACAGGAUUAGAUACCCCUGUAGUUCCUGUCUCUUAUAA
rnacentral:rRNA from 1 species